UGAUGAGUUGAUGAAGAAAGAAUAUACAAUGUUGAUAACAUGUAUAGUAAUCAACAUUGUCAUGGUUGGAUCAACGAUUCUCACAUCAGUGGCCCUGAACAUCAAGGCACAUUCGUCGCUGAUGUAUAUUUUGAAUGCUGACUUGUCCACACUGUCAGACACAAGUUUAAACAUUAUCAACAUCUUCAUAACACGACUCACAACCACCAAGAUAGGGUAUACCAUAUAUAAUCUCUUCACGAUCGACAACUCGACCAUCCUAAUG